rnacentral:rRNA from 1 species
UACGAAGGGUGCAAGCGUUAAUCGGAAUUACUGGGCGUAAAGCGUGCGUAGGCGGUUUGUUAAGUCUGUUGUGAAAGCCCCGGGCUCAACCUGGGAAUGGCAAUGGAUACUGGCAGGCUAGAGUGCGGUAGAGGGUAGUGGAACUCCCGGUGUAGCGGUGAAAUGCGUAGAGAUCGGGAGGAACACCAGUGGCGAAGGCGGCUACCUGGACCAGCACUGACACUGAGGCACGAAAGCGUGGGGAGCAAACGGG